rnacentral:rRNA from 1 species
UACGUAGGGGGCAAGCGUUGUCCGGAUUCAUUGGGCAUAAAGAGCGUGUAGGCGGCCAGGUAGGUCGGUUGUGAAAACUGGAGGCUCAACCUUCAGAGGUCGACCGAGACCAUCUGGCUAGAGUCCGGGAGAGGAGAGUGGAAUUCCUGGUGUAGCGGUGAAAUGCGCAGAUAUCAGGAAGAACACCCGUGGCGAAAGCGGCUCUCUGGAACGGUACUGACGCUGAGACGCGAAAGCGUGGGGAGCGAACAGG